UUGGAUACAAUGACAUCAUUUUAAAAAUGCGUCCUUGUAUUAUACUUAGGACGUUUGCAGUUUUUAUCAAAACACGGAGAGAAAGCAUGGACGCCCAUCCAGUAAAACAAGGACGUAAUUAAGACAAAGGCGCCUCCAAGUUUGGUAUAACAUCACAGGUUCGAUUCGCUAUACCCAAACAUAGAGAACAAUAAUAUGAUCGAGGUAUAAAUAUAAGUCGACUCCCAAAUCACAGCACUCUGCACCAAAAUUGAAAAAGGAAACCCUAAAUUUUCACUUGCCCGGGUUCUUCAAAUUUUCCCUCUUCAAGUUUCAGCUUCCCACCAUGGAAUCUCACCAUAUUCACUUUAGAAUUCACCCCGUUCAUUUACUCAAACCCAGGUAUCUUCUCUUUGAGCAGAAAAAAGAAGAAAAGAAACCGAGUUUUAUCGAUGUGCUCUGCUGCUCAAUCACCCAUCGCGCAUCACUGACUUCGAUCUAUAGCUUUUCUUCCUUGCAUGGUUUUCUUCUGCUGUUCUCAAGUGCUUAUGGAAGAUAGGCUGUCUCUGAUUCGAGUAUGCUCAUAUAGUUCUCUACUCUAAAGGCAUGAUGUUUCUGAGCUGGAGCAAAAGCUUAAGAACAAUCAAAGAUACUCUCAAGUCUUCAACAAAAGGUUGAUGAUUUGGCAUCAAAGUUAACUGAGAGAGGUGGUUACAUGGACCAUUGAAGCUAUGUGACGCACCAGGAAUAAGAGGUGCCUACGGGUGUAUGUCAAUAAGGAUAUAGGCAUUGAAAAAGGGAACAUCUACAAUCAUUUUGUAAGUGAUGCAACUGGAGGAGCAAUUGUUAUGCAAACAGAGAUAGGUACUCCAGCUGAUCCCUUCCCAGCAAGCAUUGCAUAAUUGGUUCUUAGAGAAAGUGAAAAAGGUUGUUUCGUGCUCUUGUGUUGUUGUUAAAGUGUCACAAGGCAUUGUGAUUGCUAGAGGUCCAUUUGGAACUGUAUACCAUGGUCUGUGGGAUGGAUCAGUACUUCUACGCAUCAAUUUUAGCUUCAUGAGUAUUAAAAACUGAAAAGACAUGCUAAGCAGCAGCUUGAGUUUCUUCAGGUGUUUCCUCUUUGUCAUCAGUCUAUUUACAUGUUUCUUGCUCAUGAUGCUCCUCUAGAUAAACUACAUUUAGGUGGUUCCAGACUUCCAGUGUUAUAGAUAAAUUCUUCAGUAUUUGAUCUCUUUGGUCUAGGCAUUUGAAUUAGUACGUUGCUUCAUGUUGUCAAUAGAUUAGAUUACAUAAGUUUAUAAGGAAGAAAAUCUGAAAGAUGGUGACUGAAGAUAUAUAUUGAAGAUUAGGUCAAGUAUAUAUGUCUAUUGUCAUCUAGGAUUACAUAAGAUUAGAACGUAUAACUAGGAAUUAGUUACUGGAAUGUGCUUGUAGUUAAGUAUAUUGUAACGAGUAAUAGAUACAAUGACAUUUGUCUUGAGAUUGUAAAGAUGAUUUGUAUGUAAAUGUCUUCUUUUUGUUUCAAGGACAAUUUUUUUUUGUGUCCUAUAAUAGAUAUAAGGACGUUUUUUUAGCGUCCUAAUAUACAUUAGAUGACCCUUUUCUUAUAUUUAAGGACGCUUCAAAAGUGUCCUCAUAUACAUUAGAGGACGCUCUUCUAAUGUCCUUAAAGACAUUAGAGGACACUUUUCAAGUGUCCUUAAAGACAUUAGAUGACAUUUUUUUUUUAGAUUAGAGGACGUUUUUCUAGCGUCCUUAUAGAUAUUAGAGGACGUUUUUCGAACGUCUUCUUAAGUGACUUACAAUGACUCCCUGAUAGAUGACAUUUUUUUUGCGUGUCAUCUAAAGUUUUUGAAGACGUUUUUCGAAUGUCCUUAAAUGCUUUUUUUGUAGUAGUGACUCGGUCUUCCCUCUAAC